AGUGAACGCUGGCGGUAGGCCUAACACAUGCAAGUCGAGCGGAAGCACAGUAAGAGCUUGCUCUUACGGGUGGCGAGUGGCGGACGGGUGAGGAAUACAUCGGAAUCUACUUUUUCGUGGGGGAUAACGUAGGGAAACUUACGCUAAUACCGCAUACGACCUACGGGUGAAAGCAGGGGAUCUUCGGACCUUGCGCGAUUGAAUGAGCCGAUGUCGGAUUAGCUAGUUGGCGGGGUAAAGGCCCACCAAGGCGACGAUCCGUAGCUGGUCUGAGAGGAUGAUCAGCCACACUGGAACUGAGACACGGUCCAGACUCCUACGGGAGGCAGCAGUGGGGAAUAUUGGACAAUGGGCGCAAGCCUGAUCCAGCCAUACCGCGUGGGUGAAGAAGGCCUUCGGGUUGUAAAGCCCUUUUGUUGGGAAAGAAAAGCAGCAGGUUAAUACCCCGCUGUUCUGACGGUACCCAAAGAAUAAGCACCGGCUAACUUCGUG
rnacentral:rRNA from 1 species